rnacentral:tRNA from 1 species
GCAGGGGUAGCCAAGCCUGGUCAACGGCGACAGACUCAAGAUCUGUUCCUGUAGAGGUUCGUGGGUUCAAAUCCCUUCCCCUGCA